CACGUAGGGGGCGAGCGUUGUCCGGAUUUAUUGGGCGUAAAGAGCUCGUAGGCGGCUCGGUAAGUCAGGUGUGAAACCUCCAGGCUCAACCUGGAGACGCCACCUGAUACUGCCGUGGCUAGAGUCCGGUAGAGGAGCGUAGAAUUCCUGGUGUAGCGGUGAAAUGCGCAGAUAUCAGGAGGAAUACCAGCGGCGAAGGCGGCGCUCUGGGCCGGUACUGACGCUGAGGAGCGAAAGCUAGGGGAGCGAAUGGG
rnacentral:rRNA from 1 species